rnacentral:lncRNA from 1 species
CAUGCUCCCUUCAGGGCUCUGAGAUGAAGAUUUGGGGAUUCAGGUGUAAAGAUUGUUGCUUCCAGCUCUCCUUUGGACGUACAAAAUUGGCUUCUCCUGAACUGCGUUUGAAACCUCUGCUUUUUUUUUUUUUUUUCCCUGCAUUAAUUUGUUAAAGCUUCGACCACUGCUUACUAACUUCACAUGCUUUCUGUUUUCUGUUCCUGGUUUAAUACAGCAUCCUGAAGAAAGCAAUGAGGAUCUUAUUUGAAAACAGCAUUUUUACAUCCUUGAAGGGUCUGAACUGGAAAAAGGGAUCCAAUUCCAGCAGAGCAUUGAGGUUGCUCUCAGUCCAGCCCCCACACUCUGGAUCUUCAUGACUUUGAUCUUGUUUGUGUUGUCCUCAAGUCCUGUGAAGUGCAAGAGCAAUACUCCACACACUCCAGGCUGAUGUGUCUUGUAGUGUUUCCUCUCACUGGAAGAGUGGAAGUGAAAUGAAGGCAUCGUGGAAAUCAGAAAGGUCAGAGCAGGGCAAGAAAACUCAUGGCAAGAGGAGACAGGAAACAGAAAAGAGCAAGGGACAUCCCAAGGACAGGAGGGGGAUGUUAUUGCUGCUGUCUUCAUCACUGACCUCUUCACUGUGCUUCGGAGAAGAACAGAUAAAGCAAAGCCUCAGCAACAUCAAAGGGUUCCAGAAUAGAGGACACCUUAGUGAGGCUCACCUGCAGUGCUUUGCCUCCUGUCCCUUGACACAUCCUGCUCAGAAAAGCCAGCC